rnacentral:rRNA from 1 species
GACGUAGGGCGCGAGCGUUGUCCGGAUUUAUUGGGCGUAAAGAGCGUGUAGGCGGCCAGGUAGGUCUGCUGUGAAAACUCGAGGCUCAACCUCGAGACGUCGGCGGAAACCAUCUGGCUAGAGUCCGGAAGAGGAGAGUGGAAUUCCUGGUGUAGCGGUGAAAUGCGCAGAUAUCAGGAGGAACACCGGUGGCGAAGGCGGGUCUCUGGGCCGAAACUGACGCUGAGGAGCGAAAGCGUGGGGAGCGAACAGG